rnacentral:sRNA from 1 species
GAGGAAAGAGACUUAUAGGUCUCGCGAGUUAUUUUAAUUCGUAUGCAAAGAAAAAGAAGAGCUAUGCAUUUUAUUUAAAAUGCGUAGUUUCUUUUUUU